rnacentral:lncRNA from 1 species
UAUUUCAGGUUAUAAAACAAUUCAUAAAUAAAUAUAAUACAGUAUUUUAUUUAUUUAAAAAUUUACUUAAAUACAUUAAAAAUAUAAAAAAAUUAUAUUUCAAAUUACAAAAUGAUUUUUGUCAAAAGCAAUUUGAUUUUUUUAUUUAAAAUAAGCCAUGGAGAAGUGAUACUUCGUAAGCUAUCUACUUCUCCUCAAGGGUAUCAUUUUACUUCCCUGUACAGUCAGGAAUAAUGACCUCCUUGUACAUCAGAAUGAGGCCUGGAUCUCUUAGUUUGACAUUUGACAUCCUUCUUGAAUUAGCACAAAACUUCCUCCACUGUCUAUCUCCAGGACUGCUCUGCUCAAUCCUUUAGUACAGGCUCACUUUUCUGGACUACUCACAGAUGUGCACAUGAAGGUCAACCAGAUGCCACCAUACCUUCCAACACUUGGCCCAGCCAGUACCACAAGGAUGUGGUUUCUAUUGUAACUGCACAUUUAGAUGGCCGUAUUUGGCUUUGGAUAGUUUUCCAUUCUUAACUGUGGUCUUUAAUCUCACUAUAAUAACAAUUUUUAAAAAGUGAAUACUUUCAUGGUAAAACAGAUAAAUGUGGAGUAGAAAACAUUUUUGAUCUAUAAAUCAAAACUGUAUUUGUUAACUCUUCUUGGUUAUAUGGUCAUUAAAUUCAUAGAAAAUGUACCAAUGUAUAACUUUUUCAAUAUCCUUAGGUAUUUUUAACAGUAAGAAUUCGUUCUGAAAGUUAAAUGUUGCAUAGUUUUAAAAUACUUAAAUGGUCAGGUCAAACAAACACAAAACUUCUGAACAUUGCUUGGAGCUAAAUUCGAAACCAAUCAAAUUUCUUAGCUUUGCAAAAUUGAGCAAGAAAACCACUGAGCUGAAUGCAUGUCAAGAGCAACGUCUCUACUAGAAUUAAAUCAAUUCAAAGUUGUACUUGGAUUAGUAUUUGCAACGGGUCAAAAUAACCAAAACGCAAGUCUUUAAAAACACAUGCUGGGAGUUCCCCCUGUGGUGAAGUGGGUUAAGAAUCCAAUAGCAACAGCUUGGGUUGCUGCAGAGGUGUGGGUUGGAUCCCUGGCCAGGAGCAGUGGGUUAAAGGAUCCAGCUGUGUGCAGGUCAUAGCUACAGCUCAGAUUCUAUCCCUGGCCCAGGAACUUCCAGGUGUGCUGUACUUUUGUUUUUCCAUAAAACUAAAUUCGAUUUCUUUUUUCAAGCCCAAAUUUAUCUUUAGAACAAGAGAUUAGUGUUUCCAUCCGAUCUUUUCUAAUGCUGAAUUGACCUUUCAGUAGAGAGUACAUUAUUUUAUUUAAACCGUGUCAAGUUACUAACCUGAUUCUUUUCAUUGACCUGCAUCCUUGGUUUUGAUCAACCAAGUCAUAACUACUGGUUCUUUAUACCACUGACACAUACUUGUCUUUCUCUGUAAUCCUCAUCCCUUUUUUGCUUAUGUUUUGCUCUUAGUGAAGCAUAGAAAGUCAAAAGUUGUUAUUCCAAAUAGCUCUUUUAUUGCUUAGACCAAUCGUCUUCUCAUUAUCCUUUGACUGUUAUUUUUAACCUGUUUUAAAUUUUUGUAUUUUAUAAUGGAGUGAAAUGGUACACUUUCAAAGUUCUUGACGUGAGAGCCAACAUUCCACUUGCUAUUACUAGCGAUAUAAAAUGCAUGAUGCAAGCAAUUCUGGGGGGCACCUGUACUUUGGGAACACAAUGCCUGCAAAACCAACCCCAUAUUAAUAGCAAUACCACCCUAUGGUACUGGAACUCCUUAGUUACUAAUGUAUCAAUCCUGGUCCUUCAACUAUAGCAAAGUUACCAUAUUAAUGUCAGAUAUUAAUAAUAGGGGAACUUGGUGUGGGUUAUAUGGGAACUCUGGUCCUAUCUUCACAAUUUUUCUGAAAAUUUAACAUUGUUCUAAAACAAAAAGUUUGAUUUGAAAAAAUGGAUAUUUUGUUCUGACCUGAAGGAUGGCUGUCAGGUCCAUUUCAUUUUUAUUUUGGUAUGAAUUCUUCAACAGACCUCCGUUAUUAUUAAACCCAACUCUACCUGUGACACUUAUGCAGAUGUUCUUCCAACUCCGGGCCCAUGGACUAGCUUUGUAAUGUGCAUGAAUCUUACAGCCCCCAGAGCUAACUACCUUGGGAUUUUUUCCUCCUUUAACAACGUAGGAAUGGUGACAUUUGCAAGGAAGGCCUUUGUUUCUUUUGGGAAAAGAUAAGUGGAAAUAGCAGGAAACAAAGAUAAUGCCAUGAGAAAAGAAAAAAAAAAUAGUUGGACCAAGAGACUCUGGGAGGCCCUCUGCCCUAGUACAGAGAAAGAGUGCCCUUCUCUUCCCUCCUCUGUUCUAACUCUGGCAGGUGGACAUUUCCCUGGGUGUAGAGGUGAUUUAAAGGGUCACUAGGGCUUCUUACUCUCUUAUUCCCCAGGAUAAAGCCCAGGAAUGAGAGUGGUAUUAAAGAGACCUGACUUAUCCCCUGACAGCUAUCUUUGUAGUUAAACCUUCCAGAAAAGCCCACAUAUUUUGACAGUCUGUCUUGAUAAAAUGAAAGAAGCCUUUACGUAAUUUUUUUUUUCUGUCUUUUUGCCACUUCUUGGGCUGCUCCCACGGCAUAUGGAGGUUCCCAGGCUAGGGGUUGAAUCGGAGCUGUAGCCACCGGGGCUACGCCAGGGCCACAGCAAUGUGGAAUCCGAGCCAUGUCUGCAACCUACACCACAGCUCACGACAAAGCUGGAUCCUUAACCCACUAAGCAAGGCUAGGGAUCAAACCCGCAACCCCAUGGUUCCUAGUCGGAUUUGUCAACCACUGCGCCACGAUGGGAACUCCUGAUACUAAUUUUUUUAAGAAAACAAAUGCAAUGCAUAUCUAAAUUUAGGCUAUAAUAGUAUAUCCUUAAUGAAUGAAUAAAUAUUAGGUGGAUUCCAUACUCUGACAGAAAAUUAAGCAUGAGAGAAAAGGUUUUUUUUUUUUUUUUUUUUUUUUUUUUUUUUGUCUUUUUGCUAUUUCUUGGGCCGCUCCCGCGGCAUAUGGAGGUUUCCAGGCUAGGGGUCCAAUCGGACCCGUAGCCACCGGCCUACGCCAGAGCCACAGCAACGUGGGAUCCAAGCCGCGUCUGCACCCUACACCACAGCUCACGGCAACGCUGGAUCGUUAACCCACUGAGCAAGGGCAGGGACCAAACCCGCAACCUCAUGGUUCCUAGUCAGAUUCCAGAUUCGUUAACCACUGCGCCACGACGGGAACUCCGAGAGAAGAGUUUUUGCAUUCUUAAAUGGCUGGUGAGGCCGUUUUUGAAAGAAGAAUGAUUUUAUGACUUAAAGAAACAUCUGCAUAUGCAAAAAUUUAGAGUUUAUUUUCAAUCUGAUAUCUUCAUCCUUUCCUUUACAAUUUUUUAUUAAAGUAUAGUUGAUUUACAAUGUUUGCAUCAGUUUCUGCUGUACAGCAUAGUAACCCAGUCAUAUACAUAUAUACAUUCUUUUUCUUGUAUUAUCUUCCAUCACACUUUCCUUUUUCCUAUUUUAUUAUAGAUGAUGGUUGUUUCCAAAAUACUCAUUUCUUUAUACUUUGAUAUGUUUGGUGAGAACGUUCAUGUAGGAUGGUCAUGAAUUGUUUUCUCGUAUUUUCUUUAGUAACUUCCAUUGAGUAUCUUCCUUUCCUCUGCUCUCUUGGGAUAGUUUGGGGAUAUAAAAAUCAGAUAUAUAUGCUGACAAAUGUAUACUAUGAAUAGUGAAGUCGGUGUUAAAAUGCAGCUUGUACAUAUAAGACCCCUAAAUUUGUUAUUUUUUUCAAAUGUUUUACUUAGUAUGGGAUCAGUUUCAGUCAUUUUACUAGUCACUUGCUAAAAUGCAAACUUUAACAAAAAUUUCAUAAAAACAAGAUUAUAAAAUUAUAAAAAUGAGAGUUGAUGGCAAUUUAUUUUAUAAUGAAUAACUAUAUAUUCACUAAGUUUAAUCUGACUAAAGGUCACAAAUUCAUUUUUAUGAAAAUUCUUCAAAUGAAUCCAGAAAUACUCCAGCUAAUAAAAUGACAUUUAAUAAUGUGGCUUAGCAUCUAUAAUGGCCAUAGAAUCAUGACGAUAUUUCUGAGAUGGAUUCAUGGAAGCCCACCUACAACUAUGUAGGUCUCCCAGUUGGUCCUAUUUUCAAUGGAGAAUAUUUACCAUUUCUGGAAUUCUAAUGAUCAGAAUUGUAAUCCUUUGGGUCUUUAAUGAGAGAAAGAAUACCACCCCAAAUGCAAUGGCCAGUCAACAUGAAUUUAUAUGGUCAAUAAAAGAAAAGAAUGUUUUCAUUUUCAGAUCCUGGACUUGGUUAUUUUGGGUUUAAAUGUGACAGAUUUGCUGAACAAAGAUCACAAAUCCCCUCUUCUUUUUCAACCACUCAAAACACCACACACACCUUCACAGCCCAACCCUUUUUACUGUUCAUCCACAACAGCUCUAGGUCAAGGUUUUCAGAAGCAAAUUGACUCUGCUGGGUACUCCUUUAUCCUCUGUAGACAUUACAUUAGAAGUAAUGGAACUAAACUUUUCAAUGCUUACAAUGUUCCCUAGGAGUCUAUAAGCUGAGCAG